AUAACCCAAAAUAUCCAAUAAAGGAGGGCAGAACUCCUCAGAAACAUACCAUCCAAAUUGUGGUUUCCUAAGGGAGUGCCUUAAACUUCCUUCAGUGGCCAAACCUUUAUAAUCUUGUUACAACCAGGACUUUCCAUUCCUGAAAACUAAAACCUGAAGGUAGGAGGAAAUUUAAAUGCCAAAUGUCACAAUUUAUUUGCUUUAAAAAUUAUGCCACCCUACUUAUUCUCAAUGUUUUCUUGCAAUCUUUCUAAACUCUUUAUACCAACUAUUUCCAAUUUCUCAUGGGUAGAAGAAUAUGGUAAGAGGUGGUGGGAAUAAUAGGUAGAAAAAUGUUGCUUUUGAUAAUAAACUUAUAGUGAUAGACUUUUGUUAAUAAAUAUCUUACCUGGUAUUCAAUUAUUAGGAAAUUAGAUACUACUGUACUGGAUAUGACAGGUUACAAUUUCUGAACUUAAAAGUAUGCUUCUCUUGGGGCAACCAUGGGUCACAGAUAUAUAACACUUUUAUUUUAUUUUACUUUAUUUUUGCUUUAUUUUACUUCAUUUUAUUUUAUACCAGAGCACUGCUCAGCUUUGGCUUAUGGUGAUGCUGUAGAUUGAACCUGGGACUUCAGUGCCACAGCUAUGAUAGUCUUUUGCAGAACCAUUAUGCUAUCUCCUAUGUACAACAGAAGCAGAAAUCAAGAAGGAACAGGGAACUGGAAGGCAAGGGAAGCAGAGAGACAUCUGCAACACAACUUCACCACUUCAGGAGUUUCCCCUGCAGGUGGGGACCCAGGGCUUGAACCUGGGCCCUUGCACAUUGUAACGUGUGCGUUAACUGGGUAUGCCACAAUCUGGUCCCUAUAUAUUAACUAUUAAUUCUUAUUGUUUUCAAGUCUGGACUCCAUUGAUUCCUGACAUUUCCACUAAUUGAUUUGAAGCUGUGAAACCACCUUACAUUCCCAUUCUCUCACUCUGAAAACAAUAUUAAUGACACAUAACUUACAGCAAUAAUAUGAGAAUGGAAUGAUACAUAUAAUAUAUAAACUCCUCAGCAGAGUAUCUUCUCAUGCAAUUAAUGUAUAACAAGUGUUUUCCCAUCAUUAUUACUCAUCUGAGAAGAAACUCUAUAGAUUUAUGUAGUAAGAGAGUUAUAUAUGGUAACAAGUUAAUAAAUGUCCUGUUAAUCACAAAUCCAAGAAUAUGAGAUUGUUUUAAAUACACUAUUUAUGUCCUUGAAUUUUGAAUAUUUUCCUUAUACAAUUUAUUUUGAAACAUUUAAUAGAUACCCCUUGUCUUAAUAUAUGGUAAAGACUAGUUGUGUACUGAACACUAGGAAAUCAUCAUUACCAUAUUUGUGAAGCAACCACUUCUCUGACUUUGCAGAUACUAUUUUUUUUUUUUCCUGACAAGGGAAUCAGAAUCUUGAUUUCCAUCUUAGUUUUACUAGUAGUCUCCUGAUAAGAUUUGAGUACUGGCUCCUAGAUCUUAGAUUCCAAGAGGGUUGUAUCAUGUUUAAUGUUUCUUUCAGCUCAUUAUGUUUGUUGAGAUUCUGCUAACUUAAUAAAUUCGUAGGAGGUGCUAUUAAUUUAGCAUUUA